UUCCAUAAAAAUUAAAACAUGCAUACACAACUAACAAAGUUUUCAUUGUAAUUCAACCAAAUCAUUUUGGAAGAUGUAUCUUUUUUAUUUUCUGAAUAAUAUCUAGCAAAGUUUAACGUGAAAAAACAACAAAGUUUGCAUACAUUUAUUUUUUCUGGUCGUUGCCUGCCCUUAUCCCUUCACAGUUGUAGUCUUCAGUUUCCACCAUUCCUCUUCCCUUUCCGGCAACCCUUUCGUUUCUCAAAUUAAACUCAAAUCUUUAUGUUCAAAUCUCUAAUAACAUGCAUCUUCUUUAUGAAUAUAACAUUUAGAUCCAUGAUAUCAAUACAGAAAAUCAACAAAAAUACACAAAACAAGUCCUCAAGACAAACCAGAAUAAAAAAUAAUUACAGAGAAAAAGAAGAAAACAAUCAAUGCUUUCCAUCAUAUAUUUGAAAUUGUUCACACAACAUAACUAUUACAGAGAACAAAAACUUACAAAGAACAACCCAUCACAGAAAAUAAAAGACCGCAAAAUCAUCGCAUCAAGCUAAACCCACCAUGAACCACCUCCGUCAAAAUUGCAAACCACCUAUCAUGAAAAACCCACUGCGAACUACCCAUCAAAAAAACCAGAUCUGAUUGAAAAAACUGAGAUAAGUCAGAACCCAUCACAGAAAAAGAACUCAAGAAAAUUUGCUAGAUCUAGAAAGGAGAAGGGAGGUGGGUGGUCCUGGGUGUUGGUGAUUGAUAAUUAGUAUGCAUACUUAAUUUUUGUACUUAAAUUAUAUAAUAAUUACUUUUUUUUCUCUUUUAAUGAUCCUUUUGACCUAAAGUGUGUGUUUUGUUUUAUUAUAGAGUUAUGGUACAUCAAC
rnacentral:lncRNA from 1 species